rnacentral:rRNA from 1 species
AGUGAACGCCGGCGGUAGGCCUAACACAUGCAAGUCGAACGGCAGCACAGUAAGAGCUUGCUCUUACGGGUGGCGAGUGGCGGACGGGUGAGGAAUACAUCGGAAUCUACUUUUUCGUGGGGGAUAACGUAGGGAAACUUACGCUAAUACCGCAACGACCUACGGGUGAAAGCAGGGGAUCUUCGGACCUUGCGCGAUUGAAUGAGCCGAUGUCGGAUUAGCUAGUUGGCGGGGUAAAGGCCCACCAAGGCGACGAUCCGUAGCUGGUCUGAGAGGAUGAUCAGCCACACUGGAACUGAGACACGGUCCAGACUCCUACGGGAGGCAGCAGUGGGGAAUAUUGGACAAUGGGCGCAAGCCUGAUCCAGCCAUACCGCGUGGGUGAAGAAGGCCUUCGGGUUGUAAAGCCCUUUUGUUGGGAAAGAAAAGCAGCAGGUUAAUACCCCGCUGUUCUGACGGUACCCAAAGAAUAAGCACCGGCUAACUUCGUG